CAGCCGCCGCGGUAAUACGGAGGGGGCAAGCGUUAUUCGGAUUUACUGGGCGUAAAGCGCACGUAGGUGGCAUCGUAAGUCAAAGGUGAAAGCCCUCGGCUCAACCGAGGAAUUGCCUUUGAAACUGCUUUGCUUGAGUCCGGGAGGGGGGAGCGGAAUUCCCAGUGUAGCGGUGAAAUGCGUAGAUACUGGGAGGAACACCGGUGGCGAAGGCGGCUCUCUGGAAUGAUACUGACACUGAGGCACGAAAGCUGGGGGAGCGAACAGGAUUAGAUACCCUGGUAGUCCCAGCCGUAAACGGUGCGCACUUGGUGUGGGCGGUAUUGACCCCGUCCGUGCCGGAGCUAACGCGUUAAGUGCGCCGCCUGGGGAGUACGGCCGCAAGGCUAAAACUCAAAGAAAUUGACGGGGGCCCGCACAAGCGGAGGAGCAUGUGGCUUAAUUCGAUGCAACGCGAAGAACCUUACCUGGGCUUGACAUAUAGCUGCAAGCCCCCUGAAAGGGGGGCCGCCUUCGAGGGUGCUAUACAGGUGCUGCAUGGCUGUCGUCAGUUCGUGCCGUGAGGUGUUGGGUUAAGUCCCGCAACGAACGCAACCCCUGUGUCUAGUUGCCACCGGCGGUGAUGAGCCACCGAGCACUCUAGACAGACUGCCCGUACAAGCGGGAGGAAGGUGGGGACGACGUCAAGUCAGUAUGGCCCUUACGUCCAGGGCUGCACACGUGCUACAAUGGUCGGUCCAAUGGGAUGCAAUGCCGCGAGGUGGAGCAAAUCCCCAAAACCGGCCUCAGUUCGGAUUGGAGUCUGCAACUCGACUCCAUGAAGUUGGAUUCGCUAGUAACGGCGUAUCAGCUACGGCGCCGUGAAUACGUUCCCGGGCCUUGUACACACCGCCCGUCACAUCAUGAAAGCCGUCUGCACCCGAAGUCGCUGAGCUAACCCGCAAGGGGAGCAGGUGCCGAAGGUGUGGGUGGUGAUUGGGAUGAAGUCGUAACAAGGUAACCGUA
rnacentral:rRNA from 1 species